CCAUCCACCCCGGCCCGAUCCACUCCCACCCCACCACUCUCUCUAUCUCAGGAACUCCGCACGAUCUCCUCGGUCCACCCCACCCCGGCUCCUCUCCCCAUGAUCUCCUGGCCGCCGCCCCCACCCACGCCGGCCGGUUCCGGCGAGCACCGGCCACGCGCAACACCCCCCCUCCUCCUCCUCCUCCCCCUCCCUUCCCCUUCCUCCUCUGCCCGCCCCUUCUCUCUCCUUCCUCCCGGCGGCUGGUGAUGGGCGCGGACGAGGAGGAGCACCAGUCCCUUGCGCGGAAGCGCGAGCGCGAGGAGGGGGAGGAGCCCGUGGCCGCCGACGAGAAGCGCCCGCACACGGCGGACAAGUCGGAGGGCGUUUACCAGGAGAGGCCGCCCCGAAGCCUCUCGCCGUCGGAAACCCUCGCCGACCAUCUACACCGGAGCACCAGCGAGAAACCGUCCUCCUCCCGCUGCAGGGAAAAGAAACAUGUGCAGAUGUUGAGGUAGUCAUAUCCAGUGAACGCAGGGAAGUCAUUCAUUUGUCAUGCCAUGGAAGUAUCGUUUGAAGUUUCCUUGCUGUCAAGACUUUUUUUCAACAUCUAUGAGGUGGCAAGCAAAGUUAUGGUAACUGCAGCUCAUAUCAGGGUGACCGACGAGGACUACUGCGGCCCGAUGGGAGUCGGGCUCUUCAACUACUCGGAGGCAUACUUCACCGUGAAGCCUCGCGACCAUGUCAUACAGAUUAUCGUCCAGGUGAUUGCGACGCAUGAGGUCCCCGGGGUGGAGGACCUCGACGCCACCGUCCGGAGGUCACCGAGGUGGAGGACGACGCCACCGUCUGGAGUUCCUCAAGGUGGAGGACCUCGACUCUUUGUACAUACAUCUAGAGAAGUGGUCUGGUUAGGUUGGUGGUGAAACGCUAGGGAAGGUACCAACCUUUUGAUGAUGGUUGUGUGCGUCCUCGUGAUCUCUUCGUGUUGAGAUGUUCAAUGUUGCAUCCAUGAACACUGCAAGUGUUAAGAUGGUGCUGUGAAAUUUAUUUUGCAUUGGAUGUGUC